rnacentral:RNase_P_RNA from 1 species
GUAAGAGACCGAAUGAUCGCCCUGAUGAAUAGUCGGGGAGGAAAGUCCGAACACCCUUCGUAGUAAUGCGAAGAAGUAGGUACCACCUAACGGGUGGGCAGUAUGACCGGCAUAAUUCGCCUUUGGCGAAAAAGUCGGCUGACGGAUUAGUGCCACAGAGACUAUACUAGCUCCGACGCAAGUCGGAGUGAAAGGUGAAAAGUGAAGAAGUGUUGUAUCGCUUUGACAAGCCUAAAGCUUGUGAAAAUGAAAAGGCUACUCUUCUUGCGCUCGAGUAAUCGAGACGCGUGGAAAACCCUACCUGGUGCAACUCCAAAUACGGAGGCUUGAGGCCCCGCGCGAGCGUGGUCCCAGAGAGAUGAUCAUUCAGUCCCGCGUCCGCGGGAUGGACAGAAUUCGGCUUACAGGUUUCUUAUGAGC